GCCUCAAAUCUUUGGUUUUUUGUUGUUUGUUUUGUUUUGUUUUGUUUUAACCAAAAGCUGCUGUUGAAUAUUUCUGGUUCAGAAGUUGCAGAACCAGUGGCAUCACAGAAGCAAUUAGGUUGGAAAUGGCCACUGAGAUCAUCGAGUCUAGGCUAUGGCUAAGCAUCGCCACCUUGUUAACUAGACCCAUAGCACUCCAUUCUUUCCUAAAAGACCUCGAGGGACGGGGACUCCACUACCUCCCUGGGCACUCCUGGUAGAUUCGUCACCAGAGCCUUGAUCUUUCCUGGCUUCAGCAGAGUCGUAGUUUUUAAGGAAAGCUGAUCUGUCAGGAUCGCUCUUAUUAUGGCUUUAAACACUGUUUGGUCACGCUGGUGUUUAUUAAGGCUACAAAGACUGUGCUGUCUCAGGCAGAGACAAGAAUGUGUGUGUGUGCUGGAUGAGGAUGUUAAGUAGUGCAAUUUCAUAUAAUCAACUUUAUGUUACAACUUUUCAAAUUCGGUAAGAUAUGCACAUUUUCUUAUGGUUGAUUCACUUUGAAACUUCAGACUUGAAGACUAGAAAAGUUGUCACUGUUGGUGUUAGUUAAAGGCACUUCAGAAUUUCUCUGAAUGUAGGAGCAAACCACAUAACUAUGCAUUUCAUAGCUAGUACAAAGAAAGAAUGAAAACGUUUGGGUAAACAAUACAAAUGCAGUCAGCAAGAUCCAGAUUUGCUUGUGGAGAAUGUCCAUGUGAAUAAGCAAGUAAACUUGACUUGAGUGUUUUGUGCAGUAGCAACAGGCAUAUCUACAGUUACUCUGCAGCAGCUGAAGGUAAGUUUAAAAAAAAGGGAGAAGAGGAAUGUUAUCUUAACUCCCUGUGGGGACAGGAUACAGCAACAGCUUCCAGUUCUGUGGCAGCUGCACACAGAUACAAGAAGAGAUUGGAAAUCAUUUUAAAAACCACCACAAACAAAAUAAACUGCCCUUGUUAUGAUCGAAGAGGGAGAUUUGCUUGCUGCUGCUAAUGAUGUAACUACAGGAGAUGACAGCAUUGAUGUAUAUGGACUGGAGUAAGAAUGUAGGUGCCUUUGUGAAGUGAGAAACAAGGUCAAUCUGGGGCUCCUUCUGCAGCAGCUGGAAGUUAGAACAGCACUUGCAACUCUGCACCCUAAGCAGACUGGAGGUGAAGUCCCUUGAGAAAUGUCCCUUCUAAAUAUGGAGAUCUCAUUGCCCUCUCCCCUUCUCUGCUUUCUGAUGCUAGUCAAACCUUUUGCUGAGCUCACUCAGUUUGCUUUCCACAGGAGAAAAACUCUUAUGUUGUUUUUUGUUUGGGCUUUGGUUUGUUGGGGUUUGUUUGGUUUGGUUUUGUUUUUUAUUUCUUGGAGGGGUGGUUGUUGUUGUUUUCUUUUUUGGGGAUUUUUUGUUUUGUUCAUUGUAUUAAUUUCCUGCAGUUUUGGUAUGGAGAAAUCAUUUGAACAUUAUUGCUGGCAGAGGUGCGUGCUGGAGCUAGGGAGGAGAAGGCCUCUGUUCACCAGUGGUCAGCUUUUUUGCUAUCUUGAACCAUAUUUGCUUUGCAUUACUUUGCUUUUCGGGUUGGGGAGCUGAAGUGGGGGAGAGAGAAUGAGUAAAGGAAAAUGGAUAAGGGAUGUAAAUCAUAAUGAUAUGGAAAGGACUUUUUUUCUCCUUCUACUUUAAGAUUCUAUCAAGACCCCUUUGGGCUCUUUGAAGUUUAGUCUCCAGCUUUAAAAUUAUAAAACUAUUUCUUACAGAGAAAACAGAAAUUGUGAAGUUAUUAAGCUAAGUGUUAAGUGAUACGAAAGACAAAUGUGUAAAGAAUUUUAAAAGGGCAGCAGCCAUAGCUAGGAGUUGACCUCUUGUCUGUAAAAACAAUUAUGGUUUAGUUUUGUUCUUCAGUGAUAAAAAAAUCCUUAACUUGAUUUCUAGAGGCAGAUAUGCCACCAGAAAUGUCACUCUAUUUGUUUCUUUAUAUUCUUUCCCUAGUAGAUAACUACUGACUGGCAAUAGAGACAAGGUGUAGAAUAACUGGAUCUUGUGUUUCUACUUUUCAUUGUGAAAGACUGGGAGAUUCUAGUAAAAUACUUUUACUCUGUUUAGGUUAUUUCCAUCUGUUGUUGCUAGGGGUAUCGACCUCUUCUUGGGGGUCCACGAAAAAUAACUUAAGGAAAGCAAGCUUCUUGUCAGUAGAUUUAACUCAGGUAUGUGGGAGCCUUCACUUCAGUUGAACAUUUAUGUAUAGCUGAAAACAGCUAAUAUAAAUGCACACUUGAAGAAUGAGCUAAUACUUACUGUAUGCAGUUGUUUGUCAGUUUUUACUUCUUUAACAUUUGGUGUUAGAAAGAAGGACUUGAGGAUUUCUGGCUUAGAGAUGUAUUUUGAAGGGGGAAGAUGAAAAUUUAGUCACUAGUUGGUACCAUAAUUAUUUGCCACGUGCCUCAAAUCAAAAGUUUUCAUAUACUUCACAAUAGUUUGUAGAACUGCCAGUGCUUGCUAGAAAGC